rnacentral:tRNA from 1 species
UACUAUCUAUAUAAUUAAAUUAUAUAUUUAUGAAUUUUAAAAUCAUUACAUUUUUUUGCCAAAAUAGUAA